rnacentral:lncRNA from 1 species
UGAAGUACCACAAUGGCCCUCUCCUCUCUGGCAAGAUCUCCAUCAACCUCAUCUGGUACGGCCGCUUCAAGCCCUCCCAGCGCACCAUCGUCUCCGACUUCGUCACCUCCCUCUCCUCCGACCCUUCUUUGGCUCAGGCCCCUCCUUCCGUCUCCCAGUGGUGGAAGACGGUCGACAAGUACUACCACCUCUCCUCCUCCAAGAGGCACGCUCCCUCUCUCAGGCUCUCCCUCGGGAGGCAAGUCCUCGACGAGAGCUACUCGCUAGGGAAGUCCCUCACGAGCAAGCACCUCGUCGAGCUCGCGUCCCGGGGCGAACAGCGGAACGCCAUCAACGUCGUUCUCACCUCCUCCGACGUGGCCGUCGAGGGAUUCUGCAUGAGCCGGUGCGGCUCCCACGACUCCGCCGUCGGUUCCGUCAAGGUCAAGGGCAGGAGCUCGAGGUUCGCGUACAUCUGGGUGGGCAACUCGGAGACGCAGUGCCCGGGGCAGUGCGCGUGGCCGUUCCACCAGCCCCUGUACGGCCCGCAGAGCCCCCCGUUGGUGGCGCCCAACGGGGACGUCGGCGUCGACGGGAUGGUGAUCAACCUUGCAGGCCUCCUCGCCGGGACCGCCACGAACCCGUUCUCAAACGGGUACUACCAGGGCGAGGCGGGGGCGUCGCUGGAGGCGGCGUCAGCGUGCACCGGGAUCUACGCCAAUGGGGCAUACCCUGGCUACGCCGGGAACUUGCUGGUGGAGGAGGCGACGGGGGCGAGCUACAACGCGCACGGCGUGAACGGGAGGAAGUACCUGGUCCCGGCUCUCUACGAUCCGUCCACGUCGUCGUGUUCGACUCUGGUGUGAGUGAAGUGGCGACAGAUAGAAACUAUGACGUUUAGGCUACCAAAUUAAUUCAUUCAUUUGUUUAUUGGUUCUGCAGUUCCUCUAUAUUAUUGUCAUUAUAUUUAAUGAAAAAGGCAAACUACUUUUAUUUGCUACAAUUACGUGAGCCAUGGAAAAUCAACCGGACAAAAUCCACUCUUAAUCUGAGGAGUUCAGCUCUUCACUCACAGAAAUCAAUAAACCGACCGGGCUAAUUACACCAUUUGUGGAAGAAAAGAUAAUUACGUAGUGAAAUUACCCAUUUAGUUUUUAAGGGAACAGAUGGAGGGGCUUAGGUCGACGGAGCGUGAGAAAUCCAUUAUUAAUACUGGCGUAAGUCAUUGGUUAUGGCAAAAGGCACAUGGGAUGAGAACUUUUUCUUUUCUAAGUGAAGGUGCUGCAUAUGACACGAACGUUAUUUAACUUAACAGCAACCCCAAAUGAUUAUAACUUUAUGGUUUAUUCAAAUUAUUCCUAUUAGGUGCUCAUCGUGGUGAAAAUAGUUAAGUUGUUAUAUAUGGUUUCUAAGGGACAAGGUGCGAUGCUCCUCACAGACCCCCAGGGAGACAUCUGAAAUGAGUCAUUUCUUACAAAUGUGGCUUGACCACGGCUAACUUUCUUAUAUUCAUGUAAAUUAAUCUUAUACUUAACUACACUUGAGGUGGGAGCUUUUAUCAUACCGUGAGUCAAGCAACUAGUCACUUACAUUAACCAUUGGAUGAAGCCCAUAUUACAUCAUACUCCUUCAAUUUACCAGUCAAGAAAUAAUAAUAUAGAAUAUAGAUUUGAGGAAUUUUUGUAUAUAGUUCGAUGUCUAGAAAAGAGUAUAUAGAGAGCUUAAAUUUUAACUUUAAUAGAUGAUUAUUUAAGGAAACUAUAUUAGAUAUGGAUUAUUAGAAUAGAUAUAGAAAAUUAUAGAAAAUAUCCUAAAUAUCUUUAAAUAUUAACUUUGAUAGAUGAUUAUUUAAGGAAACUAUAUUAGAUAUGGAUUAUUAGAAUAGAUAUAGAAAAUUAGAGAAAAUAUCCUAAAUAUCUCUAGAAGAAAUCAACACAUGUCUAACAUCCAAUUUCAAACUCACAAGGACUAAUUCAACUUGAGUUUGAAAUCAAAUUAAAUCACAUCCGGCGAUUGAGAUGUGGCGAAUGAGGUGGCUUCUACGUUGUUUGUGGUGAAACUCCCAAAUCUAGCUAAUUUGAGGGAGGCAAGUUUGAUGGUGGUUUUGACUUUACAAAAUGAUGCAGGUUGAGAAUUGGAGGGCAAAAUGCUAGCUGCUAUUGUGGCUAGCUUGCAGAAUGGUAACUGACCGAUAUGGCUAGUACAACUAGUGUCGCAACAUCAGGCGACUUAUAUGAUAGGCUUGGGAAAAUAGUUACUAAGUGAUGUGACCUCUCCAACUACCAUAGAAAAAGCCACCUUAGUGAUAAAGGUUCAAUUGGGCAAUGCGAGCGGCACAAUUGGUGUGGAAUGGAUUGGAUUAAGUGUUUCCUCAAAUUAGACUUAUAUGUAUGAAGUGAAAACUGUUGACUGUUGAGCAGUAGGGAUGGAUGAUUUAUUUGGGUGUACAUUAGGGUGCUUGGGGAGCAUGGGUGUAUCAAUGCAAAGUGUACCUAGUGUACUAGGGUUGCCUUAGCAAAGAGGUUCUAAUACCAAGUCAAAAAUGAAAAAAACCCCAAAUUAUUAUAGACGUACUAAAUGUACUUUCCAAUAUUUUUUCGUUAAAUUUUACCAUAAAAAAACUGAGUUAAAUGACAUGUGAUAAUUGACAAGUGUACCAGCUCAAGGGUUUACUCUUCAUUUGUUACAGAUGUAUCAAUUUAUGAUUUUUCGUGAUAUUAAUUCAAUUUAAUAAAAAUUAACGAAGGUAAAUUUCUCAUAAAUAUAUCAGUUUGAGGUUUAAAAAAUUAAUUUUGGAUAAAUUUAUCAUUGGUGUACAAUUUUGGGGUUUUUAAUGAUAAAAAAAAUUAAUUCAAGGUAAAUUUGUCAUAGUGUACUAAUUUGGAGUUUUUCAUGAUAUUAAACUAAAAUAAUAAUGCAGAAGAUAGAUUUGAGGAAGUUCUUUAUAUAGUUCGAUUUAUAGAAAAUAGUACAUGAAGAUUUUAUUUAUAGACUUUAAUAGAUGACUAUGUAAGGAAAAGGGAUUAGAUAUGCACAAUCGAAAUAGAUAAAAAAAAAAUCAGAAAUAAUUUCUUAAAUAUUACUAAAAGAUAUAUGCAUUUCUCUAACAUCACCAUUGAUCCACCGCUGCAAUAAUUGUUAACGAUGUUUAUAAUUUUCAGGAAAAUUUGUGUCGAUUAAUGAUAGACAUCGAAACUCGGACAUGAGAUCCAUGGCAUGGCAUGCUCAAAAGAGCUGCGUCGCUAAACCUAUAAAAAAUGUGGAUUCGCACUUAGCUAACACGCCCAUCCUUGACAAUUAGCUCCACCGCCACCACCAACUAGCGUGUCUCCUUCUCGCGACCCAAGAGGCAGGCCACUGAUUGGUUUCGUUCUCUCGGUCAAAACUCUUGUUUUUCCCUUAGCUGUUAAUGCCCUGUAAUGAAAUGUAUAACUGUUGGACCGAGAGUUUUGACUUUUUGCCAACGAAAACAAUUCAUUAACAAGCAAAUGUGUCAAAUCAAGUUGGCCUCUCUUUCCUUUACUUCACCAUUCUCUCCUCACUACCAUCCUCUCACCUUCCCCCUCUCUUGCCAAAUCUAACUUCAUUUCUUUCGCUCAGCUACUCCUAAGGGCUCCAAUCGGCCUUCUCUUUCUCAUUUCUACCCAUCAUAUUAAUCAGACCUGUGUGUUCUAUCUUGGGCAAUCUUCUCAAUGGGGGGUUUUGUAUAUGCAUGUUUUUCCUAUAUAGAAAUAUUCACAGUGUGGUCCCUUUUGCGAUCCAUUACCUUGGAUUUUUUUACUAAAGAGCUGAACCAUAAAAUUGAAAUUGGUCGAAAACUUGGUUGGAUCUUGGUUCGAGAAAAGGAUACAAUUUGACCUUGGGGAUCCUAUUUAGAUUUAUACCAUUGAGUAUAACAAAAUCUCAAUUGGAUCGUGGAUCGAGUUAAACACUCUUGUAACCUUAGUUUAUUUUAUUUUAUUUUAUUUUAUUUAUUUGGCUGCAUGUGCUCAGUUAUGAAUAAUAUGGAUGACGUGUCAUAUGCUAGUGCAAGAGUUUAGGUGAUUUUAGGACAAACCCAAGCUUUUGGUCACACCACUCAAUUCCCACGCGUUACAUUAUCCCUUUCGCUUUACUCAUCCCAUAUAUUUAUCAUUGGUCAACCAAGGCCACUAUUGGUAAUAAAUAAAUAAAAACCAAGACUGCCGCGUAGCGCAAAACUCACGAGUGUGGCCCAGCGGGGGCCUCCAAUAUGAUGGAGUACCAUCGACCACCUCUGAAAAAGUCGUCCUAACAGCGUAAAUGCAAUGAUAAUUGAACGCCUAGUCGAGCACCAGUUGUCAUUUGUUAAUCUUGCUGGUGAAGAUGCAACUGGGAAUGGCAAUACCACAUCAUCUCCUCCAAAUUUAAUUAUUACAUUCAUGAGCUGCCCUCCUUUGUCUCUUUCCAGGCAGGUUCCGGCACUUUAACCCCACUUCUACGUUCCCAACUUCAUAUCUAUUUAUUAUUAUAUUAUAUAGUCGUAAAAUAAAAUAAUCGAAGCAUCACCCCAUCCCCAACCUUCUAUAAAUACUCCUCGCUUCGACACAACCCACAAUUUCAACAAAGCGAGAAGCUACCUCAGCUUUCACCUUUCCUCUUUCCUCAGUCUCAGCCAAAACUCAGCUACAAUGGCAUCCUUCUUCUUCACUUCUAAGACAGCUCUUCCAAAGCUAUUCCUUGCCCUCUGCCUCCUCCAGAUGGCCUCCGCCACCAGGAGGCUGGCCGAGCUGGUCCAAGACCAGUCCCCGCCCAUGAAGUACCACAAUGGCCCUCUCCUCUCCGGCAAGAUCUCCGUCAACCUCAUCUGGUACGGCCGCUUCCAGCCCUCCCAGCGCACCAUCGUCUCCGACUUCGUCACCUCCCUCUCCUCCGACCCUUCUUUGGCUCACGCCCCUCCUUCCGUCUCCCAGUGGUGGAAGACGGUCGAUAAGUAUUACCACCUCUCGUCCUCCAAGAGGCCCACGCCUUCACUCACGCUCUCGCUCGGGAGGCAAGUCCUCGACGAGAGCUACUCCCUCGGGAAGUCCCUCACGAGCAAGCACCUCGUCGAGCUCGCGUCCCGGGGCGAGCAGCAGAACGCCGUCAACGUCGUGCUCACCUCCUCCGACGUGGCCGUCGAGGGAUUCUGCAUGAGCCGGUGCGGCUCCCACGACUCCGCCAUCGGUUCCGUCAAGGUCAACGGCAAGAGCUCCAGGUUCCCUUACAUUUGGGUGGGCAACUCGGAGACGCAGUGCCCGGGGCAGUGCGCGUGGCCGUUCCACCAGCCCCAGUACGGCCCACAGAGCCCGCCGCUGGUGGCGCCCAACGGGGACGUCGGCGUCGACGGGAUGGUGAUCAACCUGGCAGGCCUCCUCGCCGGGACCGCCACGAACCCGUUCUCAAACGGGUACUACCAGAGCGAGGCGGGGGCGUCGCUGGAGGCGGCGUCGGCGUGCACCGGGAUCUACGGCAAUGGGGCGUACCCAGGCUACGCCGGGAACUUGCUGGUGGAUGAGGCGACGAGGGCGAGCUACAACGCGCACGGCGUGAACGGGAGAAAGUACCUGGUCCCGGCUCUCUACGAUCCGUCCACGUCGUCCUGCUCGACGCUGGUGUGAGGGAAGUGGAGACAGAUUGAAACGAUGACGUUUAGGCUACCAGAUUGAUUAAUUCAUUCGUUUAUUGGUUUUUUCGUUGCUGUAUAUUACUGUAAUUAUAGUUAAUAGAAAAGGCAAACCACUUUUAUUUGCUACAAUUUGCUCUGGUGCAAAGCAAGCGGGCUAAUCCAUUCCUAAUUCGACGAUUUUAGCUCUUCAAUCGCGCUAAUCGAUCAAUCACGCGGGCUCAUAACACCUUUGCUGGAGAAGAAAAAUUUGCGUUGCGAAUGUAUGCUCCAACGGAGGAGCUUAAGUCGAGGACGUGAGAGAAAUCCAUUUCUUAUACAGGUCUAGUCAUUGGUUAUGGCAAAAGGGACUCGGGAUGAGAAUUCUGACUUUUCUCAAUGAAAAUGCCGUAUAUAAGACAAUAAUCCCAAAUGAUUAUCACUUUGUGCUUUGUACAAAUUAUUGCUUUUAGGUUCCCAGCGAUAGUUAGAUUGUAACAAAUGUUAUGGAAGUUGGUUCCUCAUGAAAUAGGAUAGAUUGGGCCAUAUAUGAUUUUGAGGAAAGAGAGCGAUUGCUGAGUUUGGACGAAGUGUGACGCUCCUUAUGACUUCUAUGGAGGCAAAGGUCACUCGUCUAGUAGGACCGUAUUGCAGGGAGAUAUGGGCAAUCAUGUCGUGUAUGUUAAUUCUUUAAGUCAGAGCUGCCAUCGCUUGUAUCUGUCGAGAUCACCAAGGCUUUGUGGUGGACGGAUUUGCGAAGCCAGUCGAUGCGGCUUCGGCUUCUCAAGCAAAGGCGAUCGCAAUGGACGAAACCCUAAAGUUCAUCGAAAGCCGACGCUUUCUCUCUCCUCAAGUACACUCUCACUAUUUAUCUCUGGUGCACGCGUUAAAGUCUUCGACUGAACUCAACUGGGAACUGCAACCGAUUGUGAGCCGGGCCCAAGCUAAACUCGCCCAACUCCCGGGCCUCUCCCUAGCCCACUACAACCGUAGCUCAAAUUGCCCCACGGACUGGAUAGCCAAGGCUUGUCGGAACAACUCCUUACCCCCGAACUGGAUAUCAUAUCCCCCUGCUUUAUUUGAUCUUUUAUGCACUGAUGUUAUGGGUGUUAUCUUCCCACAUAUGAAAUAGUAAAUAAAGUGAUGAUGUUUGAUGAUAAAAAAAAAAGGUCAGAGAAAUUAUAAUAUUCUAAAAUCUCACAUCAUAUAUAACCAAUCUUUUAAAUGACUCAUCAAUUAAUAUUCAUAUUGAAAACGACCACCUCCUUAUUUGACUUCUCCAAGUAUUCCUUUUGGGAGAUUUUAGAUGUGAAUUGAGUCAAUUGUUACAAAUGUGGCUUGGCAACAACAAAUUUCUUAUUUUCAAAUAAAUUAACUACACUCGAGGUGGGAGCUUUUGUCAUACCAUAGGUUAAGCAUUUAGUCACUUAUAGUAAUUACUGGAUGAAGCCCGUUGUUACAUCAUACUGCUUUAGUUCAUCGUUGAUCUCUUGGUAAAGACAAACCUUAAUAAUGUUUACAAUUAAUAGGAAAAUUCGUGUUGAUUGAAGAUAGAUAUUGAAGUUGGAUAUUAUAUACACAACAUGCUCAAGAGAGCACCAACAUAAGAUGUGACACGCCAUUCUCUACAAUAAGCUCAACCGCCACCACCAAUUGGUAGGGAAAAUUGUCAAAAAAAAAGUCCAAAACCUAUUACUUUUAUAUCAGUUCCGUUUGACAUUUCAAUUAUGUCAAUUUAGUUCUAAGCUAUUUUGAUGAUUUAUCAAUGUAGUCAUUUUAGAUAAUUUUGAUCGAAAAAUACUGACAUGGUGAUUCAAUCGGCACCAAUCAUCCUACGUGACAGGAUCCGCGAUAUGACUAGAGCAAAUUCAAUUGAAAUGAUGUCAUUUUGCAUUUUAUAUUUAUUUUUUGCUUUUGCUUUUGUGUUUGCUGUUCAUCAUCUUCCAUCCUCUUCUUUCUCUAAGAAAAGUUUCGUUUCUCGACCAAGUCAAGACUCAAUCUUGGAUCCGGCUGCAUCGAACCAGAAAAUGCAGACUUCUUGCUAGCAGAUAUGCUAGAGAGUGCUUUUGCGUCAGAUUGUCUUGCAUACAAUUUUUGCGCUUCAACUUGAAAGCGACGAACUUGAACGUGAGUUGAUUUACUCAUGCGUUAGUUAUAGAUCAUAAUACCGAAAUCGUUUUUAAAGACUUACAAUUCAACUCCAUGUCGCGACGGAGCAAGAGCCCUCCAGAUCUAGGGCUCAAGGUCGAUGUGUGGCGGAGCUCACGAUCUUCCAGCUAGGUUGAGAUCUUGAAGACGCCCGGCUUGACGGCAUUUUCAAACAAUGAUGGAGGAUAGAGUAAGAAGAAGAGCGGUUCGCUUUUUUGCUUCCACAUUCAACAAAGAUGGAGAACAAUGAAAGAAGCAGAUGAAGAGUAAUCUAGGAAAAUAAAAAUCAAAAAUCAAAAUUUAAAAACUUGCAAAAUUUAUAGACGUUGACAUCGAUUAUGUUACAUAUGACAACCGUCGUCUAAAAUUAGUUCAAAUGUCUAUAUUGACAAAUUAUUUAAAAAUUUAUGACUAAAUUGUCAUUAUUGAAUAGUUUAAAUUUGGUAUAAGUGUAAUAAAUUGAGUAUUUUUUGAGUAAUUAUUCCUGAACCAACACAUCCUCUUCUUGUGACCCAAAAGAAGGGCAUCGAUUGGUUUUCCUUUGUUAUGUCAGUCAAAAUAGGAGUCAUUUUUUCCUCUUGGUUGUCCAAUGCCAUGUAAUGAAAUGCAUAAUUGCUGGAUUGAGAGCUUCGGCUUUGUGACAACGAUAACAAUUUGUUCAGAGCAAACGCGUCAAAUCACUCUGGCAUCUCUUAUCUUCACAACUCUCUCCUUGCUACCAUCCUCUCACCUUCCCCCUUUUCUUCAUCGUCAUCAAUCAAAUCCAACUUCAUCUCUCUCCCUCAGCCACAUCCUAGGGGCUCUAAUCGAACUUCUCUUUCCGAUUCCCACCCAUUAGAUUGAUCAGGCUUGUGUGUUCUAUCUUGGGUGAUCUUCUUAACGAGGCAUAUACAUUUUUAAUUUUGUAUAGAAAUAUUCAUUAUGGAUCCUUUUGUGAUCCAUUGCCUUGAAUUGCCUGACUGAAGAGCUAUUUCAUGAAAAGUGAAAUCAAGUGAAAACUUAAUUGGAUUUUGAUUCAAGAAAAUGAUAUAAGUUGACUUUGGUGAGGAAUCAUGUUUUGAUUUUGACAAUUGAGCAUAACAAAAUAUCAAUUUAAUCAUGGAUCGAGUUAAACACUUUAUUAAGCUCAAAAUCUCAAAGUUUCUUGGUGUAAUUCGAGCCGAUUGGAACAAAGUUACUUCCGAAAAUUUCCUUGAGUUCAACCAUCUAACAUUUUUAUUUGCAAAAGAAAAACCUAUGCUUUCUUUGUCUAUUUGCCCAAGCCUACCGAUGCCAAGCCACCAAAGCCUUUAGCCAACAACCAACAUCCAGUCUCUAACCAUCACCACCUAAAAAACUCGGGCGUGCAUUGAAAUCCUAUAAGUCCACUCGAUCUCAUCCAUUGAAAGCCGUGGAUCCCAUGUAGGUGAAGCCUAGGAUCAAGUUGCCUCAUGUGGAUUCUGGCAUGCUUUGCUAUCCACCACUUCCAUGCGCAUGCCUUUGCUCCAAGAGCAUUUCCACCCACCAAUGCGCCUCUCCUGACCUUGGUUUUUUUGUUGUUUUGGCUGUACGUGCUCAGUUUUGAAUUGUACGGAUAGUGUGUCAUUUGUUAACGCAAGAGUUCAGUGAUUUUAGAACAAACCCAGGAUUUCCCUCUCACUCUACUCAUCCCAUAUGCAUAUCGUCGGUCAACCAAGGCCACUAUUCUUGACAAAAAAAAAAAAAAAAAGGCCACUAUUGAUUAGGAAAGGAAGAAAACGAGACCACCACGUACCGCAACACCCACGUGUGGCCCACCCAUGGGCCAAUACCAUCGGCUACCUAAUAAAAAGCUGUCCUAAAAGCGUAACUGAAAUAAUGAUUGAACGCGCAAUCGAGCACUGGUGGCCUUUUGUCAAUCUUGCUGGUGAAGUAACAACUGGGAAUUUCAAGACCAUCAUGAGCUGCGCUCCUUUUGUCUCUUUCUUGGCAGGUUCCGGCACUUUAACCCCACUUCUACGUUCCACCCUCAUAUUUAUUAUUAUAAUAUAUAGUCGUAAAAUAAAAAUUUCGAAGCAUCACCCUUAUCCCAUCCUUGUAUAAAUACUCCUUCCCCCUCCGCACAACCCACAACUUAAACAAAGCGAGAAGCUACCUCAGCUUUCACCUCUCCUCAGUCUCAGCCCAAAACUCAGCUACUACGAUGGCAUCGUUCUUCGCUUCUUCUAAAACAGCUCUUCCAAAGCUAUUCCUCGCCCUCUGCCUCCUCCAGAUAGCCUCCGCCACCAGGAGGCUGGCCGAGCUGGUCCAAGACCAGUCCCCGCCCAUGAAGUACCACAAUGGCCCUCUCCUCUCCGGCCAGAUCUCCGUCAACCUCAUCUGGUACGGCCGCUUCAAGCCCUUCCAGCGCACCAUCGUCUCCGACUUCGUCACCUCCCUCUCCUCCGACCCUUCUUUGGCUCAGGCCCCUCCAUCCGUCUCUCAGUGGUGGAAGACGGUCGACAAGUACUACCGCCUCUCCUCCUCCAAGAGGCGCACUCCUUCCCUCACGCUCUCGCUCGGGAGGCAAGUCCUCGACGAGAGCUACUCCCUCGGGAAGUCCCUCACGAGCAAGCACCUCGUGGAGCUCGCGUCCCGGGGCGAACAGCGGAACGCCAUCAACGUCGUGCUCACCUCCUCCGACGUGGCCGUCGAGGGAUUCUGCAUGAGCCGGUGCGGCUCCCACGACUCCGCCGUCGGUUCCGUCAAGGUCAACGGCAGGAGCUCGAGGUUCGCGUACAUCUGGGUGGGAAACUCGGAGACGCAGUGCCCGGGGCAGUGCGCUUGGCCGUUCCACCAGCCCCUGUACGGCCCGCAGAGCCCACCGCUGGUGGCACCCAACGGCGACGUCGGCGUCGACGGGAUGGUGAUCAACCUGGGAGGCCUCCUCGCCGGGACCGCCACGAACCCGUUCUCGAACGGGUACUACCAGGGCGAGGCGGGGGCGUCACUUGAGGCGGCGUACGCGUGCACGGGGAUCUACGGAAACGGGGCGUACCCCGGCUACGCUGGGAACUUGCUGGUGGAUAAGGCGACGGGGGCGAGCUACAACGCGCACGGCGUGAACGGGAGAAAAUACCUGGUCCCGGCUCUCUACGAUCCGUCCACUUCGUCCUGUUCGACGCUGGUGUGAGGGAAGUGGAGAGAGAUUGAAACGAUGACGUUUAAGCUACCGGACUGAUUCAUUUAUUCGUUUAUUGGUUUUUUUGUUGCUGUAUAUUACGGUCAUUAUAGUUAAUAGAAAAGGCAAGCCACUUUUAUUUGCUACAAUUUUAUUCUCUAGUGCAAAGCAAGCGGGUUAAUCCGUUCUUAAUCUGACGAUUUUAGCUCACUCCUUCAUUAAGUCAGAGAGUUUCUAAAGUCCCAAAAUCUCACAUCACUUAUAAAUAUCCAAUUAAACGACACAUUAAUUAACAUUAACAAUAAACUCCAGAAAGACCACUUUCUUGUAUGGCUAUUCCCAAUAUUCCUUUAGGACGAUUUUAGAUGUGAAUUGAGUCAUUCAUUACAAAUGUGGCUUAACAACAACAAACUUUCUUAUUUUCAUAUAUUAAUCUUAUACUUAACUUCACUUGAGGUUAGGGCUUGUAUUUGGCCUUGUUUGGCAAAAUAUAUUUAUGUUCCUCGGAACAAAAAAUUUAUGUUAUUUUGUUUCGGAGAACAAAAAAAGAAUAAAAACGUGUUUGGUAAAACUUUUGUUCUUGGGAACAAAAAAUCUACUCUUUUGUUCCCGGGAACAGAUUUGGAAUAGAAACAAGAAGUAGAAAAAAGUUGAUUUUUAUUCCCGAAAACAAUUUUGAAAAACACUUCUUUUUCCUUCUUCUUUUUUCUUUCCUUCUCCUUCCUUUUGGCCAGUCGCCAACCUUAAUCAUGGCCGACGACCGGCCAACAAGGGCUGACGACCUCGCUGGAGCGUCAUCGGCCCUCGGCGAGACUGAGCCUCGCCUUGGUUGGGCGAGCUCGAGCUCACCCAAUCGAGCUCGCCUAGCCAAGGCAAGACCGAGCCUUUUCGGGGGUCGGCAACACUUCGGCGAUGUUGCUGGCCCUCAUCAAUCGAUCGCCGACCAUGGUUGAGGUCGGUGACCGACCAAAAGGAAGAAAAAUUAAAAAAAUUAAAAAAAAAUUAAAAGAAACAAUUAAAUUAUACAAGUUUACUAAACGUAUUUCUAUUCCUUGAAUAUAAAUUUUUUGCAGUUAUCAAGCGCGUUCUUAUAUUCAGAAAUUGUUCUUGGAAACAAAAAUAGAAAAAAUUAUUUAUGUUAAAAAAUUAUUCCACUGAAUAGAAACAUUACCAAAUGUGCCCUUAGUUACUUACAUUAAUCAUGGAUGAAGCCCGUCGUUACAUCAUACUCCUUCAAUUCAUCGUUGAUCCACUAAUGAAAACAAUCGUUAAUAAUGUGCACAAUUCAUAAAUUCAUGCCGAUUAAUGAUAAAUAUCAAAGUUUGGACAUUAAUUACAUGAUAAAAUCACGAGUACUGCAUUGCUAACAAACAUAAAAUUUGGAUAAGCACUUAACUAUAGGAGUGAGCAUAGUUCGGGUUGGGCUAGUCCACCCCCUAACCCUAGGACUAACCCGUACAAUAUUGGUCCGAAAUUUUUUGUUUUAUUUUUUGUAUUCCUUGUAAAGGUAAACUUACCAUUUCAAAUUACAUGUCUAUCGAUAAUGCGACAUUAUACAACAGUGUCAUUACAUAUUCAAUGAAUUUAAGAUAAGACAAUAAUAGAAAUUUUUCACCUACUAAAAACAAUAAACCAUAAAAAUGAUUAAUACCGCUCAUAAAAAUAUGGAACAAAAUGGGAAGUUGAUUGGCGAGCAGGGAAGUUCAGUAGGGCGAGAGUUGAGCGGCGAGUGGGAAAGUUGUAUCUUUCAAUUUUGGCAAAUUGAAUAUUAAGAGGACAAAGAAGACAUAAGAGAACAAUUCCUUGAGGAGAACGCCAUGAGGAGCCGUUUAAUGUUGUUGACGUCAUUUGACUUAGGUUUUUCUAAAAAAAAAAAAAAAAAUAUAUAUAUAUAUAUAUAUAUAUUAUAAAUUAGACCGACCUUAAACUCCAAGAAUCAAUAAUCAAUCCAUACAGUGCUGAUUCAAGGGUCUUUGGACUAAGGACCGACUCAGCCCUCUUGGAAACCAGACCAAGACCAACAAAGUUGGGCCGGUCUAAGGUCGGUCCAAGUUAACCCUGGACUGAUGCUUACUCCUACUUAGUUAACAGAACUAUUUCUGACAAUUAGCUUCACCACCACCACCAACUAGCACGUCGUCUCCUCGGAACCCAAAAGGAAGGGUGCUAAGGGUGCGUUUGGUAACAUUUCUGUUUAAAAAUUGUUUUUGGGAAUAGAAAUAGAAAAAAAUAUUUCUGUUUCAGGAAACAAUUUUUGAACAAAAAAACGCGUUUGGUAAAUCUGUUCUAGAAAUAUAAAAAGAAUAAAAACAUGUUUGGUAAAUUUGUAUAAUUUUUUUUAUUUCUUUUAAAUUUUUAAUAUUUUUAUUUUCUUUCUUAUUUUUCUUAUCUAUUUUUCCUUUUUUUUUCUUUUUUCUUUUUUCUUCUUUUGCUCGGUCGCCGACCUCGGCCAUGGCCAACGACCAGUCGACGAGGGCCGGCAGCCUCGCCCAGCCACGGCGAGGCUCACCGGCCCCCGGUAAGGCCAAGCCUCGUUGUAGCUGGGCGAGGCUCGGCCUCGCCUUGGCUGGGCGAACUCGAUCUCGCCCAGAUCCAGCGAGGCCGAGCCUCACCAGCCGCUGGGCGAGCUCGGCCUCGCCAAAUAUGGGCGAGAUUGAGCUCGCCCAGCCCGGCGCUAGGUCGGCCUCGCCAGGGGCCGGUGACGCUCAACCUCGCCAGGGGCUGGCGACGCUCCGGCGAGGUCGCCGGCCCUCGACGGCCCUCGACAACCAAUCGCCAGCCAUGGCCGAGGCCGGCAACUGGCCAAAGAAAAAAGAGAGAAGAAAAUGAAAAAGAGAGAAAAAGUGUUCCUAAAUUUUGUUUCAGAAACAAGAAAUAACUUUUUUUUUGUUUCUUGUUUCCGUUCCAAAUGUGUUUCUGGGAACAAAAAAUAAUUUUGGAACAAAAACGCAGACAAACGCGUUUCUAUUCAUUUUUUGUUCCCAAGAACAAAAAAAUAAAAAUUUGCGUUCCUGAGAACCUAAACACAUUUUAACAAAGAGGCCCUAAUUGGUUGUCCUUGUCCUCUCAGUCAAAACAAGUCUUGUUUUUCCUUUAGCUUUCCACGGCCCUGUAAUGAAAUGCACAAUUGCCGGACCGAGAGCUUUGACUUUGUGCUAAUGAAAGCGCCUCGUUAACAAGCAAACACGUCAAAUCAUGUUGUCUCUCGUCUUUAGAUCACCGCUUUUGCCUCGUUACCAUCCUCUCACCAUCUCCAUUUCCUUCAUCGGUAUCAUUCAUAUCUAACUUCAUUUCUCUCACUCAACGACAUCCUAAUGGCUUCCAUCGACCCGUCUUUUUCUCACUCCCACCCAUUAGAUUGAUCAAACACAUGUGAUCCACCUUAGGUAAUAUUCUUAAGAGGUUAUCGUGGGUCCGUUUGAUAACGUUUUCAUUUCAGGAAAUAAUUUUCUUUUAGAAAUAAUCUUUUUCUAUUUCUAUUCUUUGAAAUAAUUUCUCAAUAAAAAAAUAUAUUUGGUAACUAUAAAAAAUUUCUAUUCCCGAAAUGAAAAAAGAAUAAGAAUGUGUUUGGUACGAUUCACAAAAAUUUUUAUAAUGUAGAAUUUUUUUUUUUUAAUUCUUCCUUACCACAGUCGACUGCUGACCUUAGUCCAUCGCCACCCAUUGCUGACCCCUGUGGCCAAUGAUCACUGACGACCCUGCUCGCUGCGGUUGACUAUCGAUCAGCCGGUGACGGCUAUUGAUCGGCCAAUCAAUGGGCGGUGGCGGUGGUGUUAGCGAUCAUCGUUGGUCGUCAGUGGCAAGCCACAGUGACAACGGUCAGCAAUGACGGCAACCAUAGCAGGCGGCAAAGGGGGGUGGUGGCCGUCAAAUAAGAAGAAAAAUGAGAAAAGAAAAAAAAAAGAAAAGAGAAAAUAACUUAUUUCUAGAAAUUGUUUCUGGGAACAAGAAGUUACUUUUUUCUACUUCUUAUUUAUAUUAUAAAUUUAUUCCCCGGCCACUUUUCUAUUUCAGGGAAUAAAAAAUUAUUGACGUUACCAAACAGAUCUUUAUUUUUAUUUUUUGUUCCAAGGAACAUAAUAAUGUAAAUUUGGAGAAAUAGAAUUGUUACCAAAUAGGGCUUAUAUAUGCAUGUUCGUUUGUAUUAAAAUAUUCAAUCUAUGGCCUUUGGCGAUUUAUUGCCUUGGAUUGUUAGAUUGAAGAUGGGAAUCAUGAAAAGAAAUGUUGGCCGAGAACUCAGUUGGAUCUUGGUUUAGGAAUAGGAUGUAGGUUGACCUUGAUGGGGAUCCUGUUUUGACUUCAACUAUUGAGCGAAACAAAUUGUAAAUUGGCUCAUCGAUCCAGUAAAACACUCUUUUGGGCUUGAAGUCUCAAAGUUUCAUUGUAUAAUUCAAGCCUACUUGAACACAAUUACUUCUAAGAGUUUCCUUGAGUUCAACCAACGAACAUUUUAACACUGUAAAGAAGAAGAAGAAGAAGAAGAAGAAGAAGAAGAAGAAGAAGAAGAAGAAGAAGAAGAAGUAUGCUCUCCCUAUCGGUUUGCCCAAGCCCACCGACGCCAUACCACCAACCUUCAACCAACACCCAAUAUCCUCUACCUCGAAAAACUCUCUAGUGCAUUCGAAUUAUAUAAGCCCACUCAAUCACAUUGUUUAAAAGAUGUGGGUGCGAUGUAGGUCACACCCAGGAUCAAGUGGCCUCGUCCCACCACUUGCACAAGGGGUGAGCAUGAUUCUAAAGUAUGACCUGGAAUUUGAGAACCAGAUCAAUAGAAAUCUGUUCAGUUCAGAUUUCAAGAUAUGCAUGAUAAGUUUCAGGUUUAAAAAAUUAGAGAACCUCUUUUGAGAGAUAGAUUCCAAGUUCUAGGUCGAUGGAAUUAGGAACUUGUACAUAAAACUUGGAAUUAGUUUUUGCAUUUUUCUUGAUCCAUGUCUUCAUUGAUCGUAGGGUGUUUCAUGGCAUUCGAUGAUAAAUGUAUAAUUUGAAAUCACUAAUGGAGCUUCCAUUUUAUGUCUAAAACUUUUAUUUUCUUAAUGUUUCAUAUUUUUCAUGUGUUUAAAUAUAAAUUGUUAUUAAUGAAUUGUAGUAAUAAGUAGUAGUCAUUAAAGUCACUACAAUCAUUCAAUUAAUAAUAUAGGUAGAGCUUGGAUAGAACUUAGAACCGAGCUUGGAACCUGUAACAAGAUAGGUAAUGUUCCAGCAUAUACCUACAGGUUCCAAGAAAUGAGGAACUUAUUCCGUAAAUAGCACUGACACCGACAUGUGGCACGCAACACAUGACGCAACAUGCUGAUACGUCGUUUCUAAAAAAAUAGAGAAUUUUAAUACAUUAUGACACAUUAUGCAUUAUACAUGAUAAAUUUUAUUUUUAUGAUUAUUUUAAUUGAAUUAAUUUGAUUCAAAUUCACAAAUAAAUAAAUAAUAAAAAGGAGCAAAGAGUAAAUUUACACUAAAAAUAUUAACCCGCGAUUUGUCAAUAUCAUUUAUUGUUUUAAUUUAACAUAUUCAACUUUUAAAAAUUGGAGAAAAAAAAAGCAAUUUAUAUUCUAAACUUGCGUGUUAGAGCAUGUCCAAAGAAAAGAGAAACAAAUAAACUUGGAGGAUAAAUUAUGUGUCACAGAAAGUGAAAGUUAGAAAAUAAAAGAGACUAGGUUUUUCUUCUUUUCCAUUUAUUAUUAUUUUAAAAAAAAAUUGAUCAUGUACGUAUCGAAAUUUCGAAUCGCAUGUCAGAAUUUCAAAUUAGCGUGUUGAAGAGUAUCAAAAAAGUUGACAAUGUAUUGGAUUUUUCAAUACUUGUUGAUUGAGUGUCGAACACAUGCUGGAGUGUUUAAUAUAACACGAAAGCUCUCGAAGAGUGUCAAUGCUUUCUAACACAUUUCAACACGUAUGUUUUAAAUUCAAGAUAGAACUUGUGUGAAAUCUAAAACUGUUUACCCUUAUACGUACUUUUGCUUUAAUACCAUUUCCACCCACUUGUGCGCCUCUUGUAACCUUUUCUCUCUCUCUCUCUCUCUCUAUAUGUCUCUAUUUUAAAUUAUAUGGAUGAUAUGUCUUAUGUUAGUGCUAAAGUUAAGAUGAUUUUAAAACAAAUUUAAACUUUCGGUCACACAAUUCAAUUCCCACGCAUGACGUUAUCCCUUUCACCGUACUCAUCCCAUAUACGCAUCAUCGGUCAAACGAAGGCCACCACGUGGCGCAAAAUCCACGAGUGUCCCGUGCAGGGGCCAAUAUUAUCGACCGCCAUUUGAGGCCGACAAAGCCGCUAUAUCUUCAAGCAUAAGUCAGCCGACUAUUGCAUCCACCACCGCGUCUCUUAUACCAAAAUUACCAAAAAAAAAAAAAUUAAACUUAUCACACCCAUACCAAUUCAAUUUUAAAUAUUUUAACUUGAUCAAUUUUACCAACAUAAUCCAUUCAACCAUUUACUAGAAAUAGUUUAUGCGGAUAUCGGUUGUAUUCUGUGAUAUAAUUAGCACUGAUAUGAAUAAAUUUUAUAAAUCAUUAUUAUUUUUGUUUCUAAAUUUUGCUUUAUGUAUAUUUUAUUUUAUUACUCUAUUUUUAUUCUCUCUAUCAAUUGCCGGACCUCGGCAAUGUUCGGUGACAAACCAAGGCAAUGAUCUGCGAGGACCCUCGUCGAAGGCCAACAAGGGUCGACCAAGGCCAAGCUUACUUCGAGGGAUACUUGCUUUUGCCAAUUUGGCAAGGGGCAUAUGAGGUUAUGACCUUGCCAAUCAUCUCUAGUGGCUGGUCCCUAUCUCCAAGGCUCGAUGAUUGGUGGAGGAAGACGAAAAGAAAAGAAAAGAAAAGAAGAGAAAAAUAUAUUUAGAAAUUUAGAAAAAAAUAACAAAAAUUGCAUAAAGUGUCACAUCAGUGACAUGAUUCAAUUGAUGAAUUUAAAGAUUUUAGAAUUAAAUUAGUAUACAUAUAAUAAAUUUAAAUUUUUUUUAGUAAUUACUCUCACCACAGUUUCACGUUCCUCUGCACAAAUUUGCGACUUAGUCUUGUUGCCCCACCGACCAUCCCUUAAUUGCAUCACAAACCGACCCACUUCUAUUAAUUAUAUUGGAUGCGCGUAAAUCAAGAAAUGUCCAUGGCCAUAAUAAUAAUUAGAGAAUAACGUUUCGUUUUUUUCAAUAAAUUUUUUGAAAAAGCCCUACCGCCCUUCUCCGAGGCUAAAGAGGAAGAUCAGUGAAAGGUCAGUUUCGUCCAUUCAACUGUAGCUAAGAUGGUUUUUUUUUUUUUUUUUUUGGUCAAAGGUAAGCUGGAUUGCAUUGCCCACUCUCUGUUUGAAUUUCAGCUGACAGCUCGCAAAAAAGGAGCUAUUAUAUUUAGCCUGAAUUCCAACAUAGAGUCCCAUCGCAAAGACAGGUUCCGCUCCUUUUGCGCCCAUGUCCACUUCCAUUAAUCAAUUUUUUCUGAUCAAUUUAAACACGAGAGAUGUUAAGAGAUAGAAAUAUGUCAUACCAUUUGAUAGUGAAAUUGAUAUGUUUUUUAUAUAUAUGUGUGUUAUCCUUUUGCCUAUCAAUUUAAGUUUUUAAUUAAGGCUUUUUAAUAAUUUGAUUUUAGAAAAAAUUUAAGAAAAUUCGAUGUAAAUUAUUUUGUUCAAAACAUCAAUUGCAAAAGGUACAUUAAGCAUUAUCAUGUUUUUGUGAUUGGUUUCCUAAAAAGCUGUCUUGAGAGCGUAAAUGAUGACUUUACGCGUAGUCGGGCACCAGUGGUCUUUUGUCAAUCUUGCUGGUGAAGUUGCAACUGGGACUUUCAAGACCAUCAUGAGCUGCCCUCCGUUUGUCUCUUUCCAGGCAGGUUCCGGCGCUUUAAUCCCCUACUACGUUCCCCACUUCAUAUUAAUUAUUAUAUUAUAAUAUAUAGUCGUACAAUAAAAUAAUCAAAGCAUCAUGCCAUCACCCUCGUCCCACCCUUGUAUAAAUACUCCUCCUCCCUUCGACACAGCCCACAUCUUAAACAAAGCUACCUCUGCUUUGACCUUUCCUCUUUCCUCAGUCUCAGCCCAAAACUCAGCUACAAUGGCAUCCUUCUUCGCUUCUAACACAGCUCUUCCAAAGCUGUUCCUCGCUUCUAACACAGCUCUUCCAAAGCUGUUCCUCGCCCUCUGCCUCCUCCAGAUGGCCUCCGCCACCAGGAGGCUGGCCGAGCUGGUCCAAGACCAGUCCCCGCCCAUGAAGUACCACAGUGGCCCUCUCCUCUCCGGCAAGAUCUCCGUCAACCUCAUCUGGUACGGCCGCUUCAAGCCUUCCCAGCGCACCAUCGUCUCCGACUUCGUCACCUCCCUCUCUUCCGACCCCUCUUUGGCUCAGGCCCCUCCUUCCGUCUCCCAGUGGUGGAAGACGGUCGACAAGUACUACUACCUCUCCUCCUCCAAGAGGCACGCUCCCUCUCUCACGCUUUCCCUCGGGAGGCAAGUCCUCGACGAGAGCUACUCGCUAGGGAAGUCCCUCACGAGCAAGCACCUCGUCGAGCUCGCGUCCCGGGGCGAACAGCGGAACGCCAUCAACGUCGUUCUCACCUCCUCCGACGUGGCCGUCGAGGAAUUCUGCAUGAGCCGGUGUGGCUCCCACGACUCCGCCGUCGGUUCCGUCAAGGUCAACGGCAGGAGCUCGAGGUUCGCGUACAUCUGGGUGGGCAACUCGGAGACGCAGUGCCCGGGGCAGUGCGCGUGGCCGUUCCACCAGCCCCAGUACGGCCCGCAGAGCCCGCCGCUGGUGGCGGCCAACGGGGACGUUGGCGUCGACGGGAUGGUAAUCAACCUCGCGGGCCUCCUCGCCGGGACCGCCACGAACCCGUUCUCGAACGGGUACUACCAGGGCGAGGCGGGGGCGUCGCUGGAGGCGGCAUCGGCGUGCACGGGGAUCUACGGCAACGGGGCGUACCCGGGCUACGCUGGGAACUUGCUGGUGGAUGAGGCGACGAGGGCGAGCUACAACGCGCACGGCGUGAACGGGAGAAAGUACCUGGUCCCGGCUCUCUACGAUCCAGCCACGUCGUCGUGUUCGACUCUGGUGUGAGGGAAUUGGCGACGGAUAGAAACGAUGACGUUUAGGCUACCAGAUUAAUUCAUUCAUUCUUUUAUUGGUUUUGUAGUUGCUCCAUAGUAUUGUCAUUAUAGUUAAUGAAAAAGGCAAACCACUUUUAUUUGCUACAAUUAUGUGAGCCAUUGCAAAGCAACCGGACUAAAUCCACGCUUAAUCUGAGGAGUUCAGCUCUUCAAUCACACAUUUCAAUAAACCGACCGGGCUAAUUACACCAUUUGUGGAAGAAAAGACCAUUACGUAGUGUGAAUGUAUGCUCUAAUUACCGAUUUAGUUUUUGGGGGAACAGAUGGAGGGGCUUAGGUCGAGGGAGCGUGAGAAGUCCAUUAUUAAUUCUGGCGUAAGUCAUUGGUUAUGGCAAAAGGCACAUGGGAUUAGAACUCUCACUUUUCUAAGUGGAAAUGCUGCAUAUAACACGAACCUUACUUAACUUAACAGUAAUCCAAAAUGAUCAUAACUUUAUGUUUUAUUCAAAUUAUUGCUAUUAGGUGCUCAUCGUCGUGGAAAUAGUUAAAGUUGUUAUAUAUGGUUUCUAAACGACAAGGUGCGAUCCUCCUCACAAACCCCUAGGGAGACAAAGAUCUGAAUUGAGUCAUUUGUUACAAAUGUGGCUUGACCACCGCAGACUUUCUUAUUUGCAUGUAAAUUAGUCAUAUACUUAACUACACUUGAGGGAGGAGCUUCUAUCAUACCAUGAGUUAAGCAGCGAAACUCACAAAUCUAGCUAGUCUGAGGGCGGCGAGUCUAAUGGUGGUGUUGACCUCUCAAAAUGACAUGUGAAAGGUCGAGAAUUGGAGGGCAAAAUGCUAGCCACCAAUGCGGCCAGCUUGCAAAAUAGUAAGUGAGCAACACAGCCUAUACAACUAGUGUUGUAGCAUCAAGUGGCUUAUACGAUUGAUUUGGGAAAUUAGUUAUUGAGCAAUGUGCCCUCUACAACUAGCAUUAAAUAAAAAGUCACGUCUAUGAUAAAGACUCAACUAGGCAAUGUGACCAGCAUAGUUGGUGUCCAAACAUGAUCAUUGUGGAAUGGAUUGGAUUAAGUGCUUCCUAAAAUUGGAUUUGUGCGCACGAAAUGAACACUAUUGAUUUUUGAGUGGUAGGGAUGGAUGAUUUAUUUAAGUGUGCAUUAGGGUGCUCGAGGAGCAUGGGUGCAUCUGUGCAAAGUAGGGGUGUCAAUGGUUCGGUUCGGUUCGAUUUUUUUGAAAAACCGAACCGUUAGAAAAAUCUUCCGAACCGAACCGAAUACGAACCGAACCUUUUGGUUCGAUUUUUCAGUUUUUGGUUUUUAACCUUUGGUUUUCGAUUUUUGUUUUUUUUUUCCUGUUAAACUCAUAUUUCUCUACUUUUAUUUGUUGGUUCGGUUUAGUUCGGUUAACCGAUAAAAACCGAACCGAACCGAAAAAUUUUGGUUUUAAUGAAAACCGAACCGAAUGAAAACCAAACCGAAAAAAACCGAAUUUUUCGAUUCGGUUUUCGGUUCAGUUACUGACACCCCUAGUGCAAAGUGUACCUAAUGUGGUAGGGUUGCCUUAACAAAGUGGUUUUGAUACCAAGUUAAAAACAAUAAUAAUAAUAAAAAAACUCCAAAUUAGUACAUCCGUAACAAAUUUACUUUAAACUACUUAUUUGACACUAAAAUUCCAAAUUGGUACACAUGUAACAAAUUUAUCCUCCAUUAAAUUUCGUUAAAUUUAACCAUCAAAAUACUAAGUUAAAUGAUAUGCAAUAAUUAAUGGGUGUACCUACUUGAUGUCUUACUAUUAAUUUGUCACAGAUAUAUUAGUUUGUGGUUUUUCAUGGUAUUACUAUAAUUCAAUGGAAACUAAAGGAGAGUGCAUUUGUCACAAAUGUACCGAUUUGGAGUUUUUUAUGGUAAAAAAAUUAAUUUGGAAUAAAUUUGUCAUGAAUGUGUAAUUUUGGGGUUUUUAAUGGUAAAAAAAUUAGUUUAGAAUAAAUUUAUUUUAGGCGUAAUAAUUUGGACUUUUUCAUGGUAUUAACCUAAAAUAAUAAUGCAAAAGAGAAAUUUGAGGAACUUCUAUAUAUAGUUUGAUUUAUAGGAAAUAGUACCUAGAGAGUUUAUUUAUAGGCUUUAAUAGAUGACUAUAUAAGAAAAAUAGAUUAGACAUGCAUAAUCAACAUAGAUUAAAAAAAAAAUAGAGGAAAUAUCCUAAAUAUAACUAAAAGAUAUAUACAUAUCUCUAACAUCAUCGUGGAUCUACCGUAGCAACAACUAUUAACAAUGUCUAUAAUUCUCAGGAAAAUUCAUGUCAAUUAAUGAUAGACAUCGAAACUUGGACAUGAGAUAAAUGGCACGGCAUGCUCAAAAGAGCUCAUUUGCUAACCAAUUAAAAAUGAGGACUCGCACUUCAGCUAACACGCCCAUUCUUGACAACUGGCUCCACCUCCACCGCCACCGCCACCGCCAACGCCAACUAGCAUGUCUUCUUCUUGCGACCCAAAUGGAAGGGCACUGAGUGGUUUUGUCCUUGUUCUCUCAGUCAAAACAAGAGUCUCGUUUUUCUCGGCUGUCCAAUGCCCUGUAAUGAGAGAAAUGCCCAACUGCUGGACCGAGAAAUUUGACUUUUUGCCAACGAAAGCAAUUCAUUAACAAGCAAAUGUGUCAAAUCAAGCUGGCCUCUCUUGCCUUUACUUCAACAUUCCCUCCUCACCACCAUCCUCUCACCUUCGCCCUCUCCUUCGUCGUCAUCACUCAAAUUCAACUUCAUUUCUUUCGCUAAGCCACGUCCUAGGGGCUCCAAUCCACCUUCUGUUUCUCUGUCCCACCCAUCAGAUUAAUCAGACCCAUGCAUUCCACAAUAAUCUUCUUAAUGGGGGGUUUUUGUAUAUGCAUUUUUUCUUGUAUAGAAAUGUUCACUUUGUGGCCCUUCUUCAAUCUAUUGCCUUGAAUUGUUUGAAUAAAGAGCUGAAGCAUAAAAACUGAAAUAGGAUGAGGUGUCGUAUGUUAUUGUUGGUGCAAGAGUUUAGGUGAUUUUAGGACAAACCCAAUAAAAAAUGAGGACUCGCACUUUAGCUAACAGGCCCAUUCUUGACAAUUGGCUCCACCACCACCACCACCACCGCCAACUAGCAUGUCUUCUUCUUGCGACCCAAAUGGAAGGGCACUGAGUGGUUUUGUCCUUGUUCUCUCAGUCAAAACAAGAGUCUUGUUUUUCUCGGCUGUCCAAUGCCCUGUAAUAAGAGAAAUGCCCAACUGCUGGACCGAGAGAUUUGACUUUUUGCCAACGCAAGCAAUUCAUUAACAAGCAAAUGUGUCAAAUCAAGCUGGCCUCUCUUGCCUUUACUUUACCAUUCCCUCCUCACUACCAUCCUCUAACCUUCCCUCUCUCCUUCGUCGUCAUCACUCAAAUCAAACUUCAUUUCUUUCGCUCAGCCACGUCCUAGGGUCUCCAAUCGACCUUCUCUUUCUCAAUCCCACCCAUUAGAUUAAUCAGACCCAUGCAUUUUAUCUCGGGUAAUCUUCUUAAUCGGGUUUUUUGUAUAUGCAUUUUUUCAUGUAUAGAAAUGUUCAUUUUGUGGCCCUUCUGCGAUCUAUUGCCUUGAAUUGUUUGAAUAGAGAGCUGAAGCAUAAAACGGAAAUCGGAUGAAAAUUUGGUCGGAUCUUGGUUUGAGAAAAUGAUAUUAGUUGACCUUGGGGAGGGAUCCUAUUUAGAUUUAUACCAUUGAAUGUAACAAAAUCUCAAUUGGACCUCGUUAAAUAUUCUAGCUCAAAGUCUUAAAGUUUCUUUGUGUAAUUAGAACCAAUUUGAACACAAUUACUUCUAAAAGUUUCAUUGAGUUCAACUAUCUAAGAUUGCAAAUAAAAAAGGAAAAAAUAAAACUAUGCUCUCUCUAACCAUCUGCCCAAUCCUACCAACGUCAUGCUUUAGCCAACACUCAAUAUCCUCUGCGUCCAACCAUCACUAUUUAGGAAACUUCUCGGGUGCACCGAAAUCCUAUUAGCCCACUCAAUCUCAUUCUUUGAUAGUUGCGGUUCCCAUGCAAGUUACGCCUAAAAUCAAGUGGCCUCAUGUCGAUUGCGGCACAUUUUGGGUGUGCAUUACAAAAUUUAUGAAACAAAAAUUGAUUUCUGGCUAGAAAUUGAGAAAUUAAAAAUUUUAACUUCUGAUUUUUUAUUCAAAUUUAUUUAUGGAAUAGAAAUCUGUUCCAAAAAUAAAAAAAAUCAAAUUGCGUUAUCAAAUGAAUUUCCGUUCCAAACUUAUUCUGAAGAACAGAGAAACAGAGAAAUAGAGAAGUAUAAAUUUUAUCAUUCGCGCUCUUUGAAUGGCUCCACAUCCUCUGACAAUUCUGGCCUCAUCCGACCAUUUCCACAGACAUGCUUGUGCUUUGAGACCAUUUCCACCCACCUAUGCGCCUCUUGUAACCUUAGUUUUUUUUUUUUUUUUGCUGUCUGUGCUCAGUUAUGAAUAAUAUGGGUGAUGUGUCAUAUGUUGGAGCAAGAGAUUUUAGGACAAACCCAAACUUUCGGUCAUACUACACAUUUCCCACGCAUUACAUUAUCCCUUUCCCUUUACUCAUCCCAUAUCCCAUAUAUAUAUAUAUAUAUAUCAUCGGUCAACCAAGGCCGCUAUUUACAAAAAGAAAAAAAAAAUACCAAGACUGCCACGUAGCGCAACACCCGCGAUUGUGGCCCAGCAUGGGCCAAUACUAUCGGCCACCUCUUAAAAAGUCGUCCUAGGAGCGUAAAUGAAAUGAUGAUUGAACGCGUAGUCCAGCACCAGUUGUCAUUUGUUUAUCUUCCUGGUAAAGAUGCAACUGGGAAUGUCAAGACCAUCAUGGGCUGCCCUCCUUUCGUCUCUUUCCAGGCAGGUUCCAGCACUCUAACCCCACUUCUACGAGAAAAUAUUAUAAUAUAUAGUCGCAAAAUAAAAUAAUCGAAGGCUCACCCUCAUCCCAUCCUUGUAUAAAUACUACUCCUCCCUUCAACACAAUCCAUAACUUAAACAAAGCGAGAAGCUACCUCAGCUUUCGCCUUUCCUCUUUCCUCAGUCUCACCCCAAAACUCAGCUACUACGAUGGCAUCGUUCUUCGCUUCUUCUAAAACAGCUCUUCCAAAGCUGUUCCUCGCCCUCUGCCUCCUCCAGAUGGCCUCCGCCACCAGGAGGCUGGCCGAGCUGGUCCAAGACCAGUCCCCGCCCAUGAAGUACCACAAUGGCCCUCUCCUCUCCGGCAAGAUCUCCGUCAACCUCAUCUGGUACGGCCGCUUCAAGCCUUCCCAGCGCACCAUCGUCUCCGACUUCGUCACCUCCCUCUCCUCCGACCCUUCUUUGGCUCAGGCCCCUCCUUCCGUCUCUCAGUGGUGGAAGACGGUCGACAAGUACUACCACCUCUCCUCCUCCAAGAGGCGCACGCCUUCUCUCACCCUCUCGCUCGGGAGGCAAGUCCUCGACGAGAGCUACUCGCUAGGGAAGUCCCUCAUGAGCAAGCACCUCGUGAAGCUGGCGUCCCGGGGCGAACAGCGGAACGCCAUCAACGUCGUGCUCACCUCCUCUGACGUGGCCGUCGAGGGGUUCUGCAUGAGCCGGUGCGGCUCCCACGACUCCGCCGUCGGUUCCGUCAAGGUCAACGGCAGGAGCUCCAGGUUCGCGUACAUCUGGGUGGGAAACUCGGAGACACAGUGCCCUGGGCAGUGCGCGUGGCCCUUCCACCAGCCCCAGUACGGGCCGCAGAGCCCGCCGCUGGUGGCGCCCAACGGGGACGUCGGCGUCGACGGGAUGGUGAUCAACCUGGCAGGCCUCCUCGCCGGGACCGCCACGAACCCGUUCUCGAACGGUUACUACCAGGGCGAGGCGGGGGCGUCGCUGGAGGCGGCAUCGGCGUGCACGGGGAUCUACGGCAACGGGGCGUACCCGGGCUAUGCCGGGAACUUGCUGGUAGAGGAGGCGACGGGGGCGAGCUACAACGCGCACGGCGUGAACAGGAGAAAGUACCUGGUCCCGGCUCUCUACGAUCCGUCCACAUCGUCCUGUUCGACGCUGGUCUGAGGGAAGUUGAGACAGAUUGGAACGAUGACGUUGAGGCUCCCAGAUUGAUUCAUUCAUUCGUUUAUUGGUUUUUUUUUUUUUUUUUGGGGGGGGGGGGGGGGGGGUUGUAUAUUACAGUCACUGUAGUUAAUAGAAAAGGCAAGGCAAGCCACUAUUAUUUGCUACAAUUUUAUUCUCUAGUGAAGCAAGCGGGUUAAUCCAUUCUUAAUUUACGAUUUUAGCUCCACUCCCGCUAGUGUUGAUUAUUUAUUAGAGAGUUUGUAAAGUCCCAAAAUGUCACGUCACUUAAAAAUAUCCAAUUAAAUGACACAUCAGUUAACAUUAAAAUUUAUCUCCAGAUAAAUCACUUUCUUGUAUGGCUGCUCCCAAUAUUCCUUUCAGACGAUUUUAGACUUGAAUUGAGUCAUUCAUUACAAAUGUGGCUUACCAACAACAAACUUUCUUUUUUUCAAAUAUAUUAAUCUUAUACUUUACUUCAUUUGAGGUUAGGGCUUGAAUCUGGCCUUAAAUAAGUAAUCUUGGAUGAAGCCUGUCAUUACAUCAUACUCCUUCAAUUCACCAUUGAUUCACUAAUAGAAACAACCAUUAAUAAUGUCUACAAUUCAUAGGAAAUCCAUAUUGAUUGAUGAUAAACAUCAAAGUUUGGACACUAAUUACAUGACAUAGUCAGGAGAACUGCAUUGCUGACAAACAUUAAAUGUGGAUCAGCACUUAGCUAACAGAACUAUUCUCAACAAUUAGCUCCAUCACCACCACCAACUAGCACGUCGUCUUCUCGCAACCCAAAAGGAAUGGUACUAACUGGUUUGUCCUUGUUCCUUUCAGUCAAAACAAGUCUUGUUUUUCCCUUAGCUUUCCAAGGCCCUGUAAUGAAAUGCAUAAUUGCUGGACCGAGUGCUUUGACUUUGUGCUAACGAAAGCGCUUCAUUAACAAGCAAACGCGUCAAAUUACGUUGUCUCUCUUGUCUUUAGAUCACCACUCUCUCCUCAUUACUAUUCUCUCACCUUCCCCAUUCCUUCAUCGCAUCAAUCAGAUCUAAGUUCAUUUCUCUCGCUAAGCGACAUCCUAAUGGCUUCAAUCGACCUUCUUUUUCUCACUCCCACCCAUUAGAUUGAUCAAACCUGUGCGAUCUAUCUUGGUAAUGUUCUUAAGGGGUUAUUAUAUAUGCAUGUUCUUUUGUAUUAAAAUAUUCACUUUAUGGCCCUUUGGCGAUCUAUUGCCUUGGAUUGUUAGAUUAAAGUGGGGAAUCAUGAAAAGUGAUGUUGGCCAAGAAAUCGGUUGGAUCUUGGUUUAGAAAUAGGAUGUAGGUUGACCUUGAUGGGGAUCCUAUUUUGAUUUUAACUAUUGAGCGUAACAAAAUCUAAAUUGAUUCGUCAAUCUAGUUAAACACUCUUUUGGGCUCAAAGUCUCAAAGUUUCCUUGUAUCAUUCAAGCCUCCUUGAACACAAUUACUUCUAUGAGUUUCCUCGAGUUCAAUCAACAUUUUAACCCUGCAAAAAAGAAUAAGAAGAAGAAGAAGCAAAAUUAUGCUAUCCCUAUCAGUUUGCCCAAGUCCACUGAUGCCACGCCACUAAACCUUCAACCAACACUCAAUAUCCUCUGCCUCGAAAAACUCUCUUCUCAUCGCUUGAAAGAUGUGGGUGCGAUGCAAGUCACACCUAGGAUUAAGUGGCCUCAUUCCACUAUUUGCACGUGGGGGUGAGCAUGAUUUUGAGAUAGAACCUGGAACCUUAGAAUCAGACUGAUAGGAACCCGUCCAAUUCUAGGUUCCAAUAUAUAUAGGGUGGGUUAUACUUUAAAAAAUUAAGGAACCUAUUUCGAUGAGUAGAUUUCAAGUUCUAAAUUGAUAAACCUAGAACUUGUAACAUAAAAUUUGGAAUAUUUUUUUGUGUUUUUCUUAAUCUAUGUCGUCACGUGAUCAUAAGGUAUUCCAUUGUGUUCGAUGAUAAGUGUAUAAUCUAGAAUCACUAGUCGAGCUUCCGUGUUAUGAUUGAAAUUUUUACUUUAUUAAUAUUUUUUCGUGUGUUUAAAUAUAAGUUAUGAUCAGUAAAUUGUAACAGUAAAUGAUGAUAAUUAAAUGUUAUUAUUCACUGUAAACGUUCAACUAAUAAUACAAGUGGAACUUGGGUAAAACCUAUAAUCGAUCUUGAAGCCUGUGACAAGAUAGGUUCUAGACUCCAGAAUAUGCAGGGUAAGUUCAAGGUUUCAAAAAAUUAGGAACCCCUUCCCUAAGUAGCAUCAACAUUGACAUGCAAGAUACGACACGAGACGAGAUGUUGACACAUCAUUUUUCAGAAAAAUAGAGAAUUUCGAUAUAUGGGGAUACGCUAUAUAUUAAAUGUAUAUUUUUAUAUAUACAUGAUAAAUUUUUAUUUUUAUGAUUAUUUUAAUCAAAUUAAUUUGAUUUAAAUUCACAAAUAAAUAAAUAACAAAUAGAGCGUAGAAUGAAUUUACACUAAAAAAAAGUAACCCGUAAUUUGUUAAUGUUAUUCAUUGUUUCAAUUUGACAUAUUCCAUUUUAUUCCAAUAAUCUAUCAAACUUGAAGGAAAAAAAAAAAAAGUAAUUCAUAUUUUGGACUCGCAUGUGUGUCAGAAGAAAAGGAAAAAAUAAACUUAGGAGGUGAGUUGUGCGUCAUGGGAAAUUAGAAUCAGAAAUGAAAAGGAGACUAAGUUCUUUUUCCUUCCCCUUUAUUAUUUUUAUUAUUUUUUACAUAUUUACAUUUUUUAUUGAAAUUUUUUAAAUUGAUCCCAUGUAUGUCGGAAUUGUGAAUUGCAUAUCAAAAUUUCGGACUCACAUGUCGGAAAGCGUCGGGAAAAUUAACUAUAUGUUGGAUUUUUCAAUAUCUAUUGAUUAAGUGUUAUACAUGUAUUGAAGUGUCUGACAUAACAUGAAGGCUUCUAAAGAGUGUCGAUGCUUCUUUCAACUAGUAGAUUCCAUGUUCCAGAUGAAACCUACGUAGAAUCUGAAACUGUUCACCAUUACAUAUGCCUUUGCCGCAAGACCAUUUCCACCCAUCUAUGCGCCUCUAGUAGCUUCUUCUUCUUCUUCUCUCUCUCUCUCUCUCUCUCUCUCUCUAUAUGUCUCUGUUUUAAAUUAUAUGGAUGAUGUGCCAUAUGUUAGUGCUAGAGUUAAGAUGAUUUUAAAACAAAUUCAAAUUUUCGGUCACCCAAUACAAUUCCCAUGCAUUACAUUAUCCCUUUCACUUUACUCAUCCCAUAUACACAUCAUCAGUCAAACGAAGGCCACCACGUAGCGCAAAACCCACAAGUGUCCCAUGCAGGGGCCAAUAUUAUCAACCACCAUUUCAGGCCGACAAAGCCGCCAUAUCUUCAAGCAGAAGUCAGCCGACUAUUGUCUCCACUACCACUUCUCUUACACCAUAAUUACAAUAAUAAUAAUAAUAAUAAUAAUAAUAAUAAUAAUAAUAAUAAUAAUAAUUGAACUUAUGCAAAUUCAAAUUUAAACGUUUUAAUUUGACCAAUUUAGUUCUAAAUCAUUGAAAAAUUUGCCAAUAUAAUUAAUUUAAUCAAUUUUGAUUGGAAAUCGCCACGUGGAUGUCGGCUACUCACGUGAUGCAAUUUCCUUUCUCUCUUUAAAAAAAAAAAAAAAAUUCUUUCUCUGUCUAUUGCCAGACCUUGGCAACGGUAUGCAACCAACCCAAGGCAACAACCGGCGAGGACCCUUGUCGAAGGCCGACAAGGGUCAACCAAGGCCAAGCUCACUUUGAGCGAGACUUGCUUUCGCCAAAUCUAGCGAAGGGCAACUGAGUAUAUGACCUUGCCAAUCAUCUCUAGUGGCUGGUCCUUGGCCAUCACGAAGACUCGACGACUAGUAAAGAAAGAAGGAAAGAAAAGAAAAGAAGAGAAAAAUAUAAUUAUAUUUAUAAUAAAAAUGAUAUAAAUUGUCCAUAUUAGUGAUACGACUCGAUUGGUGAAUUUCAAAAUUUUAAGAGUAAAUUAAUAUAAAUAUAAUAAGUUUAGAACUUUUUUGUAAUUACUUCCGCCACCUUUCCCCACUGCACAAAUCUGCAACUUAGUCUUGCCACCCCGCCGACCAUCUCUUAAUUGCAUCACAAACCGAGUCACUUCUAUUAAUUAAAUUGGAUGCACGUAAAUCAAGAAAUGUCCAUGGCCAUAAUAAUAAUGAGAGAAUAACGUUUCGUUUUUUUUAAGAAAAAUUGAAAAAGGCCUACCGCCCUCCUCCAAGGCUAAUGAGAAAGAUCAGUGUAAGGUCAAUUUCGUCCAUUCACUGUAUCUAAGGUGGAUUUUUUUUUUUUGGUCAAAGAUAAGCUGGAUUGCGUUGCCCACCUUUUGUUUUAAAUUCGAGGCAACAGCUCACGGAAGAGGAGAAAAGGAGCUACCAUCUUUAGUGUGAAAUAGGACAGAAGCUGGAUUGCACUGCCCACUUUUUGUUUGAAUUUCAGCUAACGGACUCGCGAAAAAGGAACUGUUAUAUUUAGUCUGGAUUCCAACAUAAAGUCCCAUUCCAUUAGUCAAAUUUUCCAAUUCAAUUUAAAUAUGAGAGGAGAUGUCAAGAGAUAGAAAUAUGCCUAUUAGUUUAAGUUUUUGGAUAAGACUUUUUAACGAUUUGAUUCUAGAAAAAUUUUAAAAAAAAUUCGAUAUAAAUAAUUUUGUUUAGAACAUCAAUUGCAAUAGGCACAUUAGGCAUUAUCAUCUUUUCUUUUUCUUUUUUUUUUUGGCGAUUGGUUACUUAAAAAGCUGUCUUAAGAGCGUAAAUGAUGAUUGAACGCGUAGUCGGGCAAGAGUGGUCUCCUGCUAAUCUUGCUGGUGAAGUUGCAACUGGGGUUGCAAGACCAUCAUGAGCUGCCCUCCGUUUGUCUCUUUCCAAGCAGGUUCCGGCACUUUAACCCCACUACUACGUUCCACGGUCCACCCACCUAUUUAUUAUUAUAAUAAAUAGUCAUAAAAUAAAAUAAUCGAAGGCUCACCCUCAUCCCACCCCUGUAUAAAAUACUCCUCCUCGCUUCAACAUAACCCACAACUUAAACAAAGCGAGAAACUACCUCUGCUUUCACCUUCCCUCACUCUUUAGCCCAAAACUCAAGCUGCUACAAUGGCAUCCUUCUUCGCUUCUAAGACAGCUCUUCUUCCAAAGCUCUUCCUUGCCCUCUGCCUCCUCCAGAUGGCCUCCGCCACCAGGAGGCUGGCCGAGCUGGUCCAAGACCAGUCCCCGCCCAUGAAGUACCACAAUGGCCCUCUCCUCUCCGGCAAGAUCUCCGUCAACCUCAUCUGGUACGGCCGCUUCAAGCCUUCCCAGCGCACCAUCGUCUCCGACUUCGUCGCCUCCCUCUCUUCCGACCCUUCUUUGGCUCAGGCCCCUCCAUCCGUCUCUCAGUGGUGGAAGACGGUCGACAAGUACUACCACCUCUCCUCCUCCAAGAGGCGCACUCCUUCUCUCACGCUCUCGCUCGGGAGGCAAGUCCUCGACGAGAGCUAUUCCCUCGGGGAGUCCCUCACGAGCAAGCAC